AACGAACGCUGGCGGCAUGCCUAACACAUGCAAGUCGAACGAGACCUUCGGGUCUAGUGGCGCACGGGUGCGUAACGCGUGGGAACCUGCCCUUAGGUUCGGAAUAACUCCCCGAAAGGGGUGCUAAUACCGGAUAAUGUCUUCGGACCAAAGAUUUAUCGCCAUUGGAUGGGCCCGCGUUGGAUUAGCUAGUUGGUAGGGUAAAAGCCUACCAAGGCGACGAUCCAUAGCUGGUCUGAGAGGAUGAUCAGCCACACUGGGACUGAGACACGGCCCAGACUCCUACGGGAGGCAGCAGUGGGGAAUAUUGGACAAUGGGCGAGAGCCUGAUCCAGCAAUGCCGCGUGAGUGAUGAAGGCCUUAGAGUUGUAAAGCUCGUUUACCCGGGAUGAUAAUGACAGUACCGGGAGAAUAAGCUCCGGCUAACUCCGUG
rnacentral:rRNA from 1 species